rnacentral:rRNA from 1 species
GAUGAACGCUGGCGGCGUGCCUAAUACAUGCAAGUCGAGCGAACAGACGAUGAGCUUGCUCCUCUGACGUUAGCGGCGCACGGGUGAGUCACACGUGUAUCCCCCACUUAUAAGACUGGGAUCACUUCGGGACACCGGCGCUAAUACCGGAUAAUAUAUUGAUCCGCAUUGUUCAAUAGUGAAAGACGGUUUUGCUGUCACUUCUAGAUGGAUCCGGGCCUCUUUAGCUAGUUGGUAGGUUACCGGCUUACCACGGCAACCGUGCGUAGCCGAGGUGCGAGGGUGAUCGGGCACAGUGGAGGUGAGAGACGGUCCAGAGUCCUACGGGAGGCAGCAGUAGGGAAGCGAGCGAGCUGGGCGAAAGCCUGACGGAGCAACGCCGCGUGAGUGAUGAAGGGCUGCGGGUCGUAAAACUCUGUUAGUAGGGAAGAACAAAUGUGUAAGUAACGAUGCAUGUCUUGACGGUAUCGAAACAGAAAGCCACGGCUAACUACGG